rnacentral:rRNA from 1 species
GGGACACGUGGUAUCCUGUCUGAAUAUGGGGGGACCAUCCUCCAAGGCUAAAUACUCCUGACUGACCGAUAGUGAACCAGUACCGUGAGGGAAAGGCGAAAAGAACCCCGGCGAGGGGAGUGAAAAAGAACCUGAAACCGUGUACGUACAAGCAGUGGGAGCACGCUUAGGCGUGUGACUGCGUACCUUUUGUAUAAUGGGUCAGCGACUUAUAUUCUGUAGCAAGGUUAACCGAAUAGGGGAGCCGAAGGGAAACCGAGUCUUAACUGGGCGUUAAGUUGCAGGGUAUAGACCCGAAACCCGGUGAUCUAGCCAUGGGCAGGUUGAAGGUUGGGUAACACUAACUGGAGGACCGAACCGACUAAUGUUGAAAAAUUAGCGGAUGACUUGUGGCUGGGGGUGAAAGGCCAAUCAAACCGGGAGAUAGCUGGUUCUCCC